rnacentral:rRNA from 1 species
GGGGCUGCUCCUAGUACGAGAGGACCGGAGUGGACGCAUCACUGGUGUUCGGGUUGUCAUGCCAAUGGCACUGCCCGGUAGCUAAAUGCGGAAGAGAUAAGUGCUGAAAGCAUCUAAGCACGAAACUUGCCCCGAGAUGAGUUCUCCCUGAGACUUUAAGUCUCCUGAAGGAACGUUGAAGACGACGACGUUGAUAGGUCGGGUGUGUAAGCGCAGCGAUGCGUUGAGCUAACCGAUACUAAUGAACCGUGAGGCUUAACCUU